rnacentral:rRNA from 1 species
AAUAUACAUUUGUAUGUUGGUAGGAGAGCGUUGUGUAAGGGGUGAAGUCGUAGCGAAAGCGGCGGUGGACUUUACACAAGUGAGAAUGCCGGAAUGAGUAGCGAGAAUUAUGUGAGAAUCAUAAUGGCCGAAAGACUAAGGUUUUAGAAGGAAGGUUCGUCCGCUUCUAGUUAGCCGGGAGCUAAGGCGAGGCCGAGAGGCGUAGUCGAUGCACAUACGGUUGAGAUUCCGUAGCUACCUUGCAUUUAAGCGAAGGGACACAUUUGAAGGGCAUGACCCGGGCGUUGGUUGACCCGGGCGUAAGGGACCGAAAAUAAGUAGGGAAGCAUGCUUGGAUGGUGGCGAGAAAAGCUUCGUGUAUAUAAGCAGGGUACCCGUACUGCAAACCGACACAGGUAGUCAGGAAGAGGAUUCUAAGGCCAUCGGGAGAAGCGUUGUUAAGGAACUCGGCAAAUUGACCCCGUAACUUCGGAAUAAGGGGUGCUCACGCGAGUGAGCCGCAGUGAAUAGGUCCAGGCAACUGUUUAUCAAAAACACAGCUCUCUGCUAAAUCGUAAGAUGACGUAUAGGGGGUGACACCUCCCGGUGCUGGAAGGUUAAGGGGAGGGGUGCAAGCUCCGAAUUGAAGCCCCAGUAAACGGCGGCCGUAACGAUAACGGUCCUAAGGUAGCGAAAUUCCUUGUCGGGUAAGUUCCGACCCGCACGAAUGGUGUAAUGAUCUGGACACUGUCUCAACAACGCACCCGGCGAAAUUGUAGUACCGGUGAAGAUGCCGGUUACCCGCGGCAAGACGGAAAGACCCCAUGGAGCUUCACUGUAGCCUGAUAUUGGGUCUCGGUAUUUUAUGUACAGGAUAGGCGGGAGACUUGGAAACCAGCACGCCAGUGUUGGCGGAGUCACCCUUGGGAUACCGCUCUUAAAGUAUUGAGAUUCUAACCUGCAGCCAUAAAUCUGGCUGGGGGACAUUGUCAGGUGGGCAGUUUGACUGGGGCGGUCGCCUCCAAAAGAGUAACGGAGGCGUUCAAAGGUUCACUCAGCAUGGACGGAAACCAUGCCUUAGAGUGCAAACGCAUAAGUGAGCCUAACUGCGAGACUGACGGGUCGAGCAGUAACGAAAGUUGGAGUUAGUGAUCCGGCGGUAUGUGAGUGGAAAUGCCGUCGCUCAACGGAUAAAAGCUACCCUGGGGAUAACAGGCUGAUCUCCCCCAAGAGCCCACAUCGACGGGGAGGUUUGGCACCUCGAUGUCGGCUCAUCACAUCCUGGGGCUGAAUUCGGUCCCAAGGGUUCGGCUGUUCGCCGAUUAAAGUGGUACGCGAGCUGGGUUCAGAACGUCGUGAGACAGUUCGGUCCCUAUCUGUCGUGGGCGUAGGAUAUUUGAAGGGCGCUGUUCCUAGUACGAGAGGACCGGAAUGGACGCACCGCUGGUGUAUCGGUUGUCAUGCCAAUGGCACGGCCGAACAGCUAUGUGCGGAUGGGAUAAACGCUGAAAGCAUCUAAGCGUGAAGCCCUCCCUAAGAUAAGAUAUCCCACUGUUUACAGUUAAGACCCCUUAUGGACUAUGAGGUUGAUAGGCUGCGUGUGUAAGUAUGGUGACAUAUUUAGCUAGGCAGUACUAAUAGGUCGAGGGCUUGAC